UUUUCGGUCAAGGGUGUACAAGUAGAUGCGCUCCCCUGCCACAACCUCCAAACAAGCUCUCAAUAACAAAUAUGGGAAGAACAAGGUGGUAGUGAGAC
rnacentral:sRNA from 1 species